CUUUGUUGCUUGCUUUGUCUCAAAUGACUUCAGUAAGCAACUUUUGAGAAAAGAGUCCCAGUGAAGAGAUGGUCAGAUGAAAGCAGACUACAGAGGGUUAAAAUCUGGAACAUCUGGGAUGUCCGCUUUCUGUCUGCUUCAAUGCCAAGAGGCUGGGGAAUUCCACAUUGUUGAAGCAUCUGGGAUCACUGAGGAAGAACUCGUUUUACAUAUUCGCAACUCCCAGUCUGAAGAUGCUGCGGUCCUUCUAGAAUUAUGGUUCAACUAUAAAGAAGGUAGCAUCUGGUGGAAAUUGUUAGUGGUCAACUCAUGGAACUGCCAGCAAAGCUUACAUUUUGACAGUUGAGUGGAGCAUACCCGUUUGCUUGGUCUUGGGAUGAGAGUUGGGAAAAGAUCAAAGUGAGAGAAGACAUUCAGGAAACACAUUUCUUUAACCGCCUGCAGGAGGAAACUUUUCACAACUGGAAAAUGCAAGCCAUUACUGCCAACCCUGGAGCACGGAGACUUUACCUUAUUAAUCAUAGCUGUCAGGGUCCUUUCAGUAAACAGCAAGCUGUUGACAUACAAAAUAUCUUCUGUAUUUCAUGGAAAAGCAAAAGGGGGAAAUGGUA
rnacentral:lncRNA from 1 species